rnacentral:rRNA from 1 species
GGGUACGAUCAUACCAGCACUAAUGCACCGGAUCCCAUCAGAACUCCCCAGUCAAGCGUGCUUGGGUGAGAGUAGUACUAGGAUGGGUGACCUCCUGGGAAGUCCUCGUGUUGCACCCC